rnacentral:lncRNA from 10 species
CCUCGGCUGAGAGGAGGCAUUCCCUCCCUCAGAGUGUCCCAUGCGGCCUCAGGAGCACACACUAGCCCACUGGCCCCAGGAAAGCACAAUUACCUCCCACAAGGCCCUAGACAAGGAUUGAAUGUCUGGAUGUCCUCUCAGGCCUCUGUGUAACCUCCAGGGCCUAGAAGGUCUGGGAUGAGCACCACUGUUAUGCAUCUAUACAGUAUCUGGCUCAGAAUAUGAGAUCAAAUAGAGCCACAUGAGGAGAGCAUCCAGCCCCUGCCAUCAUCCCCUGAGUCCCUGCUGCUUUCUGCACUAUACUCCUUGAAACUCCUGCACAGAAGUUUGUCAGUACCCUUGGCAGGUGCCAGAGAACAGAUCUAUAUUUGUAUGUGCCAUCCAUCCAGUGUGAAUAGUGUGGGUCUUAAACUCACAAAGGCUGGGUAGGAACCAAGGCUCUGCCCUGAGUACCCCUGUGUGAUCUAGGGGAAGGCACUUGACUCUCCUGGGAAAUAGGUUAAGGCUUUCCCUCCUACUACUGCCUUAGAGUUACAGAAAUGUGUACAUGCUCAGUGGACUCCAGAGCACAGAGCAGAUGGGCUUCAUUACAAUCAUUAGGAAGCGGUGGGCUCAGGGGCAGUGUUUAUUCAGAAUUCAUGUUCUGACCCACUAAUUGAACCAACCAGAAUUUUAUUUUAAUGAAAUUGAUUAUGAGAAAAUCAAAUAGAGUAGAAUAGACCAGAAAAUAGCAGAUUGCACCUUAUGUCAUGGGAAUAACUUGUUACAUGCCCUUUUUGUUUCAGUUGUAUGGCCUAUGUAUAUGUAUGUGCAUACUCAGUCACCAUGUAAAAUUAUUUCUUAUUAUAGUUGCAGCAGAAAAGUUGAAAUAUCUAUUUCUCACUGUAUACAAAAACCAAAUUAAAAUGGAUUAAAGACUUAAAUAUAAGACCUCAGACUAUGAAACUACUAGAAGAAAACAUUGAGGAAAUGCUUAGGGCAUUGACCUGGACAAAGAUUUCUUGAUUGAGACCUCAAAACCAAAGGCAACCAAAGCAAAAAAUGGGCAAAUGGGAUCACAUCGAGCUAAAAGAACUUCUGCACACCAAAGGAAACAAUCAACAAGUUGAAGAAAUGACCUACAGAAUGGAAGAAAUAUUUGCAAACUAUUCAACUGACAAGGAAUUCGUAGCUGCAAUAUAUAAGGAACUCAAACAACUCAAUAGCAAGUAAACCAAAUAAUCUGAUUUUAAAAUGGGCAAAAGAUCUGAAUAGACAUUUCUCAAAAGAAGACAUAUACAUGACCAACAGGUAUAUUGAAAAUGCUCAACAUAUCAUCAAAGAAAUACAAAUCAAUACCACAAUAAGAUUAUCAUCUCAACCCAAUUAAAAUGACUUUUAUCAAAAAGACAAAAAAAUUAUGGAUGCUGGCAAGGAUGUGGAGAAAGGGGAACACUUGUACACUGCUAGUGGGAUGUAAGUUACUACAGCCACUAUGGAAAACAGUAUGGAGUGUCCUCCAAAAGCUAAAAAUAGAACCACCAGGUGAUCCAGCAAUCCCACUACUAGGUAUACAUCCAAAAGAAAGAAAAUUCUUAUAUCAAAGAGAUGUCUGCACUCCCACGUUUAUUGCAGCGCUAUUCACAAUAGCCAAGAUUUGGAAUCAAACUAAGUGUCCAUCAAUGGAUGAAUAAAGAAAGUAUGUUACAGAUACACAAUGGAAUAUUAUUCAGCCAUAAAAAGGAAUGAAAUCCUGUCAUUUGCAACAACAUGGAUGGAACUGGAGGACAUUAUGUUAGGGAAAAUAAUUGAGGUACAGAAAGACAAAUUUCAGAUGUUCUUACACAUAUGCGAGAGCUAAAAAAAUUGAUCUCAUCAGAUAGAGAGUAGAAUGAUGGUUACCAGAGGCUGGGAAGGGUAAUGGGGAGGGGAAGAUAAAGACGUGUUAAUGAGUACAAAAAUACAGUUAGAUAACAGAAAUGAGAUCUAGUGUUCAGUAGCACAAUAGAAUGACUAUAGUUAAUCAUUUAUUGUGUAUUUCAAAAUAACUAAAGGAGUAGGCUUGGAAUGAUCCCAACACAAAGAAAUAAUAAAUGUUUGAGGUGAUGGAUAUUCCAAGUACUCUGAUUUGAUCAGUACACAGUUUAUGCUUAUCUCAAAAUAUCUUAUGUAGCCCAUAAACAUGUAUAACUAUUAUGUACCCAUAAAAAGAAAACAUUAAAAUAAAUAAAUAAAUAAAUAAAAAGUUUGAAUACAUGGCAUAUUAGUUAAGCACACAGACUCAGAUUCCAAACUGCCUCGUUUCGAAUUCUAGCUCUGCCACUCUCUAGCUGUGUAAACUCAGGCAAUUACUUAGCCUCUAUGUACCUCAUUUCAUGAUUUCUAAAAUGAAGAUAAUAAUAGUACCCACCUCAUAAAGUUGUAAAGAUUAAAAGAGUUAAUCCAUGUAAAUCACUGAGAACUAAGCCUGGCACACUCUAAGUGUGUAAUCA